UACGAAGGGUGCUAGCGUUGUUCGGAAUCACUGGGCGUAAAGCGCGCGUAGGCGGCUUUUCAAGUCAGGGGUGAAAUCCUUGGGCUCAACCCAAGAAUUGCCUUUGAAACUGUGAAGCUAGAGUGUCGGAGGGGAUAGCGGAAUUGCUAAUGUAGAGGUGAAAUUCGUAGAUAUUAGCAGGAACACCGGUGGCGAAAGCGGCUCACUGGACCAUAACUGACGCUGAGGUGCGAAAGCGUGGGGAGCAAACAGG
rnacentral:rRNA from 1 species